AGUAAAACAAUGCAAAUAACAAAUGAAGAUCUCCAUUUAUGUUGAUUAGUUUUCCAAAUCUUGAAGUAUUAUUUAAUUUUGAGAUAUUAUUAUGCCUCCUAGUUUGUCAACGUUUUUAAAGACUCUACUAAAAUGCAUAGGAGGAGAAUGUUAUCCAUUAUUAAUAUAUGCAAGUUUAAUUACAUAUGUUAUUGUAUCUAUAAAUGGAUACAUAGAAAGGACACAUGUGACUCCCU
rnacentral:lncRNA from 1 species